UAUGCAUAAAGCUGCUACACUGGGCAUCCGGAAUGUGCUCUGUCAGUCAAAGCUGUAGCUGCGCUGUUGUCAUAAAGACGAAAGGUGGGAAAAUCAUAAAAUCAGUUUCAUUCUGCUCUGUGAAAGCGAGGUUGCACCCCUACUAAACAGGCUUCUUACAGCAAACUCAACUUUUUGAAUGUCAAGGCUUAAAUGAUCAACUGGUGUUAGUUUUACGUUUGAGGACUAAAAAUUGUGGCAACAAUACCAAAAUGUUAUACUUCUGUGUUUGAGGCCGAUAGCAACUAAAGUGUAGGUCUGAUGGCUUAACCAGACACAUCAUUAAAAAGAAGACAAGUGUGACUACGAACAAGUGAAGAAAUUACAUUGAUAGUAAAUAUUGUAGCUUUAGUGACAAGUUAAAGACAGAAGUUCUGUCUUAAAAAAGCAUGCAAGCUCACGCAAUAUACACUAAUGGAAAAGCUAAUCUAAAAAAAGUGUAUGUUGGUAAUUAAACUGUAAAGUAGUAUCAUUAGCGGCUAUAAAUAACAAAUUAAAAAUACAAUUUAGUGCUAUUUAAAGGGGUCAUAUCAUGCAAAAUCCACUUUUUAGACAUUUUGGAGUGUUCCUAUGACUCUAUGGGUCACAUAUACACACACUGAGCACGGUAGAAAUGCAUUUCCUCCUUUUUUCACAUUUUGAAAAUGUAAAUUUUCUCAUCAAAUGGAGACAGACCUCGUCCUGCUCUAAAACCGUUCCCCCGUUGUCGUCACACAUGUAGGAAGUCCUCCCUGCAAAUCCUGAAUUUACGGCUCCUGUUGGAAAAAAAGGAUCUAUUCCUACAGUCCGUCAUUCACUCACUGAAGGGGGCACAUCCCAGUUACCCACAUGCAAGGAGGCUGUCAAACAGAGAAAUUACUGCAGACUGUUGGUACACAGACAUCUGCUGCCCAGCUCAGGAGUGAAGUACCUUUUUGUUUUGAUGAGGUGAUGGUAAGGACAGCCACAGCUUCCAUCUGGUAGAGGACUGCUUCCGCUCAGUCUUCCAAAUAGUGAUGAGAACAAGGAUCACCACAUCUCCCUGUUUACCCUACUUUCAUG